rnacentral:rRNA from 1 species
UACGAAGGGGGCGAGCAUUGUUCGGAAUUACUGGGCGUAAAGGGUGCGUAGGCGGAUAAGUUAGUCAGAUGUGAAAGCCCGAGGCUUAACCUUGGAAUUGCAUUUGAUACUGCUAAUCUAGAAUAGUGAAGAGGAGAGUAGAAUUCCCAGUGUAGAGGUGAAAUUCGUAGAGAUUGGGAAGAAUACCAGUGGCGUAGGCGACUCUCUGGUCACAUAUUGACGCUG